rnacentral:rRNA from 1 species
UACGUAGGGUGCAAGCGUUAAUCGGAAUUACUGGGCGUAAAGUGUGCGCAGGUGGCUGAGCAAGUCGAGUGUGAAAGCCCCGGGCUUAACCUGGGAAUUGCGCUCGAAACUACUUGGCUGGAGUGUGGCAGAGGGAGGUGGAAUUCCACGUGUAGCGGUGAAAUGCGUAGAGAUGUGGAGGAACACCAAUGGCGAAGGCAGCCUCCUGGGCCAACACUGACACUCAUGCACGAAAGCGUGGGGAGCAAACAGG